AUGAUCCAUGGCCUGGCCUCCAAAGAGGGGAGACUGCCCUUUGGGAAGAAUCGUGGGAUCCUAGUAGUGGUGGUGGGGGGAGCCGCCGCCGGCCGAGUGCAUGGACGACGAUGCCAUGGUGUUGAAAGAGAAGACGAACUCCUUUCGGUCACACAUGCUGGGCGACUGCGAGUGAUACCGCGGGAUGCCUGCGGGGGCGAGGCGAGAGGAAAGGGGGCGUUAAAGGGUGGCCUCCGGAGGCCCGGGCUCCGGGUGGAGAAGCACCGUCACUGUGGGGCGCACCCCGGGGACAGGCCUGCCUGGCUCGGCCUGGGCCCAGGCCUCCCCACGUCCCAGUUCCUGGUUUCAGGUCUCAGUCGGGCCAGCACCCAGAGGGAAGAUUCCCCAGACACGGUCAAGGAUCCCUGCAACCCUGGGUGCCUGCUGCCCCGGCCUCUCCCUCCGUGGACACUGAGCCUGGCUUGGGAGGCUUCCGGUGGCGGAUGGGGAAGGGGUGAGAGGGGCCAGCAGAGAAGGUCCAGACUUACAGGGCAGCCUGAGGCCGGGGCCUGGCGCCGGGCAGCCACCUUCCAGCCCCUGGAGGCGGCGGUGUCCCCAGAGCAGUGAGCCAGGCCAGCAGGGGCCAACACAGGGGCAAAGAGGGCUUCUCCAGAGGAAGGGUCUUCGGGGAGCGGAGCCUGCAGGACCUCUGGAACCCUGGCUGGAGUUUGAAGCAGCCCCAGUUGUGCGACCCCCGUGGAGAGAGCCCUCCAUUCUCCAGGACCGGCUCCUGCCUCCCGCUGGCUGCUGACAGCUGACUCCUGACAGGCCCCUGCUUGGAUCCCUCCAAGCUCUUUCAAGAACCAGACCCAGAAGGCUACUAGCGCGUGCGGAGACGGAGGGUCCAGAGGAGAAGAUGGUAGUGCAUCUUUUUUUCUCAGGGGGGAUUGGAAGCGGAGCGGUACCUGUGGGCCUGGAAACCUGGAUCCUGAGAAACAGUUUGUUGGGGCCCGCAGCUCAGACCUUCGAUCUGGGCCCCUCUCAGCCUCUAUUGCCACAAAAAGCCCCAAACUCAAUGUUCGUACACCCCAGGCCUGGUUUCCGAAAGGCCGGGCUCUGAGCUUCUGAGCGCCAGCGCCAAGCCCCACCGGCUUUGGGCCUAACUCUUCCGUCCUGCUCGGCUCAGAGCAGAGGCGGCUCUCCCAAAGCAGGGCGAGCGAGCCAGCUGCCCUGGGGACGGGCCAGCUCCAUCCUGGGAACUUGCCCAGGUGUCAGGGGGCUAAGGGACCUGAGGGGACUUAGAAGAUUGCAGUCUAAGUCUCUGAGGUGAGGAUGGGGCCUACCUGGCCAGGCUGGGGCUGCCAGCACAUAUCCGGGCAUUGAAACAGAAAGGAAAAGGGAAUGUUAGUCUAUGGGGGGACUCCAGGCUGCCCUCAGCCCUCAGACGGGGAGAGGUGGACAGAGAGACACCUUGGGGAGCUGAGGCCUCCAUGGUGCAGCUUGGGGACUGGCGCCGCAGGCUCCGGACCAGGGCGCCAGCAGUCUGGGGGCUAGGUCUGUAGUGCGCUCACAGAUGUCCACCACACCUCUCCUACCGCCCAGUCCUGGGGACAGCUCGGGGCUCCCCACUCACCUUGCAGCUCAGCAGGGGCGUUGUGACUGUUCUGGUGCAGAUACGGCUGGUCCAGGGAGUGCGUGGAGAGGCUGCCGGACAGGGGGUUGGCCGCGGGGUUGCAAGGGGACAGGGGCUGUUGCUUGAUGUAGGAGGCGCUGCUGUUGAGCGCCGCCGAGGCAGAGGGAGGCCAGGCGGCCGCGGAGCCGGAGUAGACGGCGUGGGGCUCCAUGACCCCGCCUGCCGCCGCGGGCAGCAGCGGGGAGGCGGGCACUGAGCCGUCGUGGUGCGGGUACUCGCCGGCCGCCGUGCCGCCGCAGCUGCCCAUGUACGAGUGGCCGCCGUUGGCGGGCAGGUGGGGCACCGAGUGGCUGGGCAAAGCCAUGCCGUCCACGUUGCCCGGCAAGUGGCCGUUCAUCAUGCCCAGACCUCCCUCCAGCGCCAGGCUGUUGGGCGGGCACGAGAGGCCGCCGGCAGAGCCCUGGA
ensembl:lincRNA